GUUGACAUGGGGCAAGUGCUCUGGUAGGUACAGAGCUGCCAUUAAAUGACCCCAGCAUGGCAAUUGGUGAUGCUGGCUUUGCACACUGUGCAUGUCCUUGUUACUGAGACAGGCUGUGUAAGUGAGGGGUGGGAUACCGUUUAUAUAGUUUGAACACCAAAGGGAGGAAAAGAGAGCAGAAGUGAUCCAAAUAAGCAACAUCCAGCACAUGUUUGAAAGGCAAUGGUUUCACAUCUUACCUUGAGCCAUGAGCCCUGAGAAGCUCUCAGAGAUAUUAACACCAGGUGAUUCACCUUUGCUGACUUCAGCCACCUAAAAUUUUGCAGUCUGACUUCCUAGGAUGUAUCUGCCCACCUAGAUAAAAGAGAGCCAGGACUGCAUUUGAGCUCUGAAGCCAUGGCUGCCUGCUGACCUGGAGCACUGUCUCUGAUCUGGACCAUUCCAGAAUUGUUUUAGAGGUGGAU
rnacentral:lncRNA from 1 species